rnacentral:lncRNA from 1 species
UUCCCUUUCUUCAAGGGAAAAUCCUUGAAGAAAUUUCCUUCAGAAAACUCCUGAAGCUGUUAGAAUUUUUAGUGUUCAUGUUGCUGAGGAGGCAGAGGGCUGAGUUCUUCCAUCCAUCGCCUUCAAGUGUCAGGCGGCUUCCGGUUGGACAAGAUGGCUACCCCAGUGGGCUUGUUUCCUCUCUGGUCUCUUUUUCUGUCUAAGACUCACUCCAUACCAGCCUGAGCUUGGGACCAUUGUUUUGCUCCUCUCA